rnacentral:rRNA from 1 species
UACCCGCAGCACAAGUGGUGGUCAUUAUUAUUGGGCCUAAAGCGUCCGUAGCUGGCCUGUUAGAUGCCUGGGUAAAUCGAUGCGCUCAACGUAUCGAACUCCGGGUAGACCGGCAGGCUUGGGACCGGGAGAGGCGUGAGCUACUCGAGGGGUAGGGGUAAAAUCCUGUAAUCCUUCGGGGAGGACCAGUGGCGAAGGCGUCACGCUAGAACGGCUCCGACAGUGAGGGACGA